rnacentral:rRNA from 1 species
AGCGAACGCUGGCGGCAGGCCUAACACAUGCAAGUCGAACGAACCUUUCGGGGUUAGUGGCGGACGGGUGAGUAACACGUGGGAACGUGCCUUUAGGUUCGGAAUAACUCAGGGAAACUUGUGCUAAUACCGAAUGUGCCCUUCGGGGGAAAGAUUAAUCGCCUUUAGAGCGGCCCGCGUCUGAUUAGCUAGUUGGUUGAGGUAAUGGCUCACCAAGGCGACGAUCAGUAGCUGGUCUGAGAGGAUGAUCAGCCACAUUGGGACUGAGACACGGCCCAAACUCCUACGGGAGGCAGCAGUGGGGAAUCUUGCGCAAUGGGCGAAAGCCUGACGCAGCCAUGCCGCGUGAAUGAUGAAGGUCUUAGGAUUGUAAAAUUCUUUCACCGGGGACGAUGAUGACGGUACCCGGAGAAGAAGCCCCGGCUAACUUCGUG